CGUCCCUCCCGGCCUCUCCUAUAUUGCAGCGGUUUGGUGACUUUGGUCGUUGGUCGGACGGCGAGUGGAACGGCGGCAGCAACAAUCUCCCUUCACUAUCUAUGAAGAUGUUGAAGUUGAAGAUGAAGAGGGUGCACGAAGGGAAUAUGAUCAGACAUUGCUUGAUAGAGAACUUGGGAUUGGAUCUGCGCUGGAUUCUGAUUAUAUGAACACUCCAAUUUAUAGUGGCACUCUAAGUCAGCCGCGUAAUAUCACUCAUACUCCAUUCACACAUGAUUCAAAGACACAAGCACCAUUUGAUAUGAACAACUGAAGUUUCUUCUUCUUUAUGACAUAGACUAUAUUUUAUGGAUUUUAUAGGUUUUGUAGAUUUCACUGCUUCUUUAAUACAUGGACCAUUUGAUAUGACAUUUUCUUAUUAUAUCUUUUGUAUUUCAUGGGUCAUAUGACGGAUGAUAUUUUGAUUUGUUAAAUGAUUGUUCUGGACAGAUA